AUUGAACGCUGGCGGCAGGCUUAACACAUGCAAGUCGAGCGGGGUGAUGGUGCUUGCACUAUCACUUAGCGGCGGACGGGUGGGUAAUGCUUAGGAAUCUGCCUAUUAGUGGGGGACAACAUCUCGAAAGGGAUGCUAAUACCGCAUACGUCCUACGAGAGAAAGCAGGGGAUCACUUGUGACCUUGCGCUAAUAGAUGAGCCUAAGUCGGAUUAGCUAGUUGGUGGGGUAAAGGCCUACCAAGGCGACGAUAUGUAGCGGGUCUGAGAGGAUGAUCCGCCACACUGGGACUGAGACACGGCCCAGACUCCUACGGGAGGCAGCAGUGGGGAAUAUUGGACAAUGGGGGGAACCCUGAUCCAGCCAUGCCGCGUGUGUGAAGAAGGCCUUAUGGUUGUAAAGCACUUUAAGCGAGGAGGAGGCUCUUUUGGUUAAUACCCAAGAUGAGUGGACGUUACUCGCAGAAUAAGCACCGGCUAACUCUGUGCCAGCAGCCGCGGUAA
rnacentral:rRNA from 1 species